rnacentral:rRNA from 1 species
UACGUAGGGGGCGAGCGUUGUCCGGAUUCAUUGGGCGUAAAGAGCUCGUAGGCGGCUUGCUAAGUCAGGUGUGAAAUCUCCAGGCUCAACCUGGAGUCGCCACCUGAUACUGGUAUGGCUUGAGUCCGGUAGGGGGAUCACGGAAUUCCUGGUGUAGCGGUGAAAUGCGCAGAUAAUCAGGAGGAACACCGGUGGCGAAAGGCGGUGAUCUGGGGCCGGCACUGACGCUGGAGGAGCGAAAAGCGUGGGGGAGAAACAG